GUCACAUGUGAAGUGGUUUUCCAUCUCUGAGGACUACUCUCUGCUGACAGUGGCCUGCAUGUCACAAAUCACGUUUCCUACAAAUCUGGGACGUGGCUGGCCUUUCACUCACAGUGGCUGCAGGACAGUGUGCAGAUUAAGAGCCCAGAGACGGGGUCAGGCAGACCCCAACCUCCUUCUGGUUCCUCUGCUCCCAGCUGUGUGUUCUCAUUGAAGUUUCUGGAAAAUUACAAGACCUGAGAUGUUACAACAGACUGAAUGCAGAAGCGGAUGUCAGCGUCCAGGUGUCUUCUAUUCAACCAGACAUUCAAGAGAUUUGCAAAUGUGUAAAACAAUGCCAGUCUUCUCACUAAAUCUUUCUGGGAAGUCUGGUGGUUUUUCAUAAAAGUAUUAUUUAUUUAACAUAUAAUGGGUUUCUUACUGUUCUUUUAAAAUUGUCUUUAAUUGUUUCUUCAUUUAAGCAUCUAAUUCAGUAAGAUAUCUCUAUCUAUUAAUAUAACCCAUAUAAAUGAAGUGAAAGAAUCUCCUGAGACCAAAAAGUCUGAGAAUCGCUGUGCUGUGGCAAACUUAAUAUGAACCUGUGGAUCUGGGAAGAGUCUUGGAAAUGGUCUAAACCCAAAUCCAUCCAGUUCAUUAAAAGCAGGUCAUCUGUGACAGCGAGGUUGAAGUCUGGAGUGUGACUUCGACACACUUGGAGAUUAUUGGAGUGGAACGGCAUCCCGUGAAAGCCAGCUUGACCAACACUGCCCCCAGCGUCCCUGGCCAGAGCUCUCUCUCCUUCCUGCCUUUCCUCUGGUCAGGAUGCUGACAAUCGGAUGGUCUUGGAGGCACCUGUGGAGGCCAGCAGCUGGGGUCCCUGGCGGAGCAGAGAAGUUGCCAAAGGGGAGACUCCCUGGGGACUGAGAAAUGCAACUGCGAGGGCUUCAUUUCUUCAGUCAUGUCGUCACUGGGACUCUGGUGGUAACAGCACAGCCUUCUGUCCCAAAACAUCCAAGCAAAGCAUUUGGAUGGAUGACACUGUCAACUCAAUGGUCAUAAGUUUGCGCAAAUUCCAAGAGAUAGUGAAGGACAGGGAAACCUGGCGUGACCGAACAACAAAGCAUCUGGAAGAGCUUGUGCCUAUGAUGGCCACUAAGAUGUGCCAUCAGGAUCCGGGGGUCCUCCUCUGGAAGGACACACCAUUUCUUAUCCCUCAUCACUGGAAACACACACAGAACACAUUCUUAAUCUUCGACGGUGCAGCAAAGACUUUUCAAUUUGCUUUUAUUAUUAGUUUUUAAACUUAUUUUAUUGACAUACAGUUGAUUUAUAACAUUAAUUUCUGCUGUAUAGCAAAGUCAUUCAAUUAUACAUUUAUAUAGUCUUUUUCAUAUUGUUUUCCACAAUAGAUUAUCCUAGAAUAUUGAAGAGUUCCCUGUGCUAUACAGUAGGACCUUGCUGCUUAUCCAUUCUAUAUAAUUGUGAUGAAGAUCAUGGCAUCCAGUCCCAUCACUUCAUGGCAAAUAGAUGGGGAAAAAGUGGAAACAGUGGCAGAUUUUAUUUUCUUGGGCUCCAAAAUCAUUGCAGACAGUGAUUGCAGCCAAGAAAUUAAAAGACGUUUGCUCCUUGGAAGAAAAGCUAUGACAAUACUAGACAGUGUAUUAAAAAGCAGAGACAUCACUUUGCUGACACAGGUCUGUCUAUUCAAAGCUAUGGUUUUUCCAGUAGUCAUAUACGGAUGUGAAAGUUGGACCAUAAAGAAGGUUGUACUCGACUUAGCGACUGAACAGCAGCAAAUAAUAAUUUGCAUCUGCUCAUCCCAAACUCCCAGUUCUCCCCACCCUCCCCUCCGUCUCCUCCCUUGGCAAUCACAGGUCUCUUCUCUAUUUGACUUUGCUUUCAAACUUCACUCAGUGUAUGAUCUGAGCAAGUCACUCUCCAAAGAUUCUUCAUCAUCUGCUAAACAAGGAGAAAUGGUAUUGCCUCCCACACAGGGGAGCUGGUGAGGCUUCAACAAUAUAAUCCAUGUAAACUGUUGAAGUUUCUUCUGCAAGGGUGGAAUAAAUGUGUGCUCUUAUUUUAGUGACUGUUUCCAAUAUUUCUGGCAGAGAUGUCUCAUAAAUUUCCAUCUAUUGCAAUUGUUCUGAAUCUUGAUCUGGCUGCUGCAUCUAGCAGGUGCUUUGCCAGCCAGUGAAAGCCUUCCUCAGAGAUCAGUGCAAAGAAACAGGAAAACAACAGAAUGGGGAAGACUAGAGAUCUCUUCAAGAAAAUUAGAGAUACCAAGGGAAUAUUUCACACAAAGAUGGGCACAGUAAAGGACAGAAAUGGUACGGACCUAACAGAAACAGAAGAUAUUAAGAUGAGGUGGCAAGAAUACACAGAAGAGCUAUAUAAAAAAGAUCUUCAUGACCCAGCUAACCACAAUGGUGUGAUCACUCACCUAGAGCCAGACAUCCUGGAGUGUGAAGUCAAGUGGGCCUUAAGAAGCAUCACUGUGAACAAAGCUAAUGGAGGUGAUGGAAUUCCAGUUGAGCUAUUUCAAAAUCCUAAAAGAUGAUGCUGUGAAAGUGCUGCACUCAAUAUGCCACCAAGUUUGGAAAAUUCAGCAGUGGCCACAGGACUGGAAAAGGUCAGUUUUCAUUCCAAUCUCAAAAAGGCAAUGCCAAAGAAUGUUCAAACUACUGCACAAUUGCACUCAUCUCACAUGCUAGCAAAGUAAUGCUCAAAAUCCUUCAAGCCAGGCUUCAGCAGUAUGUGAACUGAGAACUUCCAGAUGUUCAAGCUGGAUUUAGAAAAGGCAGAGGAACCAGAAAUCAAAUUGCCAACAUUCGUUGGAUCAUAGGAGAAGCAAGAGAGUUCCAGAAAAACAUCUACUUCUGCUUCAUUGACUAUGCUAAAGCCUUUGACUGUGUGGAUCACAACAAACUGUGGAAAUUCUUAAGUGAAGUGAAAGUCGCCCAGUCGUGUCUGACUCUUUUCGACCCCAUGGAGUUCAUGGAAUUUUCUAGGCCAGAAUAUUGGAGUGGGUAGCCUUUCCCUUCUCCAGGGAAUCUUCCCAGCUCAGGGAUUGAACCCAGGUCUGCCACAUUGCAGGCAGAUUCUUUACCAGUUGAGUCACAAGGGAAGCCCAAGAAUACUAGAGUAGAUAGACUAUCCUUCUCCAGGGGAUCUCCCCAACCCACUAGUCGAACCGGGGUCUCCUGCAUUACAGGUGGAUUCUUUACCAACUGAGCUAUCAGGGGGAAAUUCUUAAAGAGAUGGGAAUACCAGACCACCUUACCUGCCUCCUGAGAAACAUGUAUGCAGGUCAAGAAGCAACAGUUAGAACCAGACAUGGAACAACAGACUGGUUCCAAAUUAGGAAAGGAGUGUGUCAAGGCUGUAUUUUGUCACCCUGUUUAUUUAACUUAUAUGCAGAGUACAUCAUGCAAAAUGCUGGGCUGGAUGAAGCACAAGCCAGAAUCAAGAUCGCUGGGAGAAAUAUCAAUAACCUCAGAUAUGCAGAUGACACCACCCUUAUGGCAGAAAGCAAAGAGGAAUUAAAGAGCCUCUUGAUGAAAAUUAAAGAGAAGAGUGAAAAAGGUGGCUUAAAAUUCAACAUUCAAAAAACUAAGAUCAUGGCAUCUGGUCCCAUUACUUCAUGGCAAAUAGAUGGGGAAACAAUGGAAACAGUGACAGACAUUAUUUUCUUGGGCUCCAAAAUCACUGCAGAUGGAGACUGCAGCCAUGAAGUUAAAAGACACUUGCUCCUUGGAAGAGAAGCUAUGACAAACCUAGACAACACAUUAAAAAGCAGAGACAUUACUUUGCUGACAAAGGUCCAUCUAGUCAAAGCUAUGGUUUUUCCAUAGUCAUAUGUUUUUCCAUACAUAGUCAUGUAUGGAUGUGAGAGCUGGAUAGUAAAAAAGGCUGAGCACCAAAGAAAGGAUGUCUUCAACUGUGGUGUUGGAGAAGACUCUUGAGAGUCCCCUGGACAGCAAGGAGAUCAAACCAGUCAAACCCAAAGAAAAUUAACUCUGAAUAUUCAUUGGAAGGAGUGAAGCUGAAGCUGAAACUCCAGUGCUUUGGCCACCUGAUGCGAAGAACUGACUGGAAAAGACCCUGAUGCUGGGAAAGAUUGAAGGCUGGAGGAGAAGGGGACAACAGAGGAUGAGAUGGUUGGAUGGAAUCACCAACUCAAUGGAUAUGAGUUUGAACAAGCUCUGGGAGUCAGUGAUAGACAAGGAAGCCUGGUGUGCUGCAGUCCAUGGGGUCACAAAGAGUUGGACAUGACUGAGCAACUGAACUGAACUGAACUGAUCACCUGGAAACAAGGAGUGUCUGGUUUCCAGUCCCAGGCCCUUCCCUGUCCUCACACAGCCUUGGCCUGUGGUAGGGAGUGGGAACAAAUUAGAGAAGGCAGAUAAUGGGGCCUGCUAGACUUCCCUGGCAGCUCAGAUGGUAAAGAGUUCACCAGCAAUGCGUGAGACCUGGGUUUGGUCCCCGGGUUAGGAAGAUCCCCUGUAGAAGGAAAAUAGCAACCCACUCUAGUAUUCUUGCCUGGGAAAUCCCAUGAACAGAGGGUUACAGUCUAUGGGGUCACACAGAGUCGGACACAACUUAGCGAUUCAACAACAUCAGCCGUGUCUUAGGAAAUGUCACCUUGUUCAUGGUGCCUGUUGACAUCACAGCCAUAGUUAUUACAGGAGCAAAAGUUUAUGCACCCAGCACACAGAUCAAGCAAACCAAAAGGCUGGAGUUUGGAGCAGAGAAAGUUUAUUGGAGGGUCAAUCAAGAACAAGUGGCUCAAGUUUCAAAACAUCUGAACUCCCCAGUGGUUUGGGCAAACAGUUUUUAUAGACAAAAUUUGGGCGAGGGUUGGAGGUGUGUGACUUUGUUCUGAUUGGUUGGUGGUGAGGUAACAGGGUGGUG